AAGAAAAUAACCGGUCCGGAUGACAUUAUACACCAUUCAAUGACUUCGUGUAUAUAAACCGAACAACCCUUUCGGUCAUAGGACAUAUUUAUAAAGGUAUAUUGAUAAAGCUAUUGUGUGCCAUUGGGAACUUUGAAGAAAAAUAGAAAAAAGAAAAAAAAGGAAAAAAUCCUGCUUUGGGAAUUAUUUCAGAGGAACGCAUCAUAAAAGCUAAAAGAAAUGUCU